GAUGAACGCUGGCGGCGUGCCUAAUACAUGCAAGUCGAGCGAAGCGGGGACGGGUGAGUAACACGUGGAUAACCUCCUAUAAGACUGGGAUAACUUCGGGGAAACGGAGCUAAAACGGAUACUUAUCGAAUGAUCCGGGCUGCAUUAGCUAGUUGGUAAGGUAACGGAUGACAAAGUCAACGAUGGAUAGCCGACCUGAUCGGGUGAUCGGCCACACUGGAACUGAGACACGGUCCAGACUCCUACGGGAGGCAGCAGUAGGGAAUCUUCCGCAAUGGGCGAAAGCCUGACGGAGCAACGCCGCGUGAGUGAUGAAGGUCUUCGGAUCGUAAAACUCUUUUAUCAGGGAAGCGGUACCUAAACAGAAAGCCACGGCUAACUACGUGCCAGCAGCCGCGGUAAUAC
rnacentral:rRNA from 1 species